AUGGUUCAGCUGCCACCACCAUCUCAAGGGAAUUUGCAUCCUACCCCACAAAAUGUCCAGUCAGGAAUUCAGAUGCCACCUCCAGUUCAAGGGAAUUUGCCUCCUACCUCACAAAAUGUGCAGCCAGGCAUUCAGAUACCACCCCCAUAUCAAGGGAAUUCGCCCCUACCUCCCAAAAUGUUCAAUCAGGGAUUCAAAUGCCACCUCCAUUUCAAGGCAGUUUGCCUCCUACCUCACAAAAUGUUCAGUCCGGAAUUCAGAUGCCACCACCAUUUCAAGGGAAUCCAUUUCAACCUCUACAUAGCUUACCUACAUGGAACUCUUCAUCUAUGCCAUCAUCUGUCAAUGGAAGUGGACUUGCAGUGCCAUCAAUGUACUCGCCAGGAUACUACACUGCACCAACUGGGUUUGCUCAUUUGCAGCAACCACCCUUUCUUGGCCCCCCACACAGUUUGA
rnacentral:rRNA from 1 species